UGAGGAAUAUUGGUCAAUGGGGGCAACCCUGAACCAGCCAAGUCGCGUGAAGGCUGAAGGUCUUAUGGAUUGUAAACUUCUUUUACACGGGAAUAAAGUGGGGGACGUGUCCCCCUUUGCAUGUACCGUGUGAAUAAGGAUCGGCUAACUCCGUGCCAGCAGCCGCGGUAAUACGGAGGAUCCGAGCGUUAUCCGGAUUUACUGGGUGUAAAGCGCGUGUAGGCGGCGAGGUAAGUUGGAUGUGAAAGCUCCUGGCUUAACUGGGAGGUGUCGUUCAAGACUGCCUGGCUAGAGUGCAGCAGAGGGGAGUACAGUGCCGAGUGUAGCGGUAAAAUGCAUAGAUAUUCGGAAGAACACCAGUGGCGAAGGCGGCUCUCAGUGCUGCAACUG
rnacentral:rRNA from 1 species